rnacentral:rRNA from 1 species
UUGACGUAGAUUGAAGUUGGAGUGCUUGCCAAAAAUGGAUUUCUACUGAUUUGGAUUUUCCUUCUAGUGGCAAACGGGUGAGUAACACGUGGGUUACCUACCUUUAAGUUGGGGAUAUCAUCUGGAAACGGAUGGUAAUACCGAAUGUGAUCUACGGAUUAAAGAAGCCUUUAAAGCUUCGCUUAAAGAUGGGCCUGCGGUGCAUUAGCUAGUUGGUGAGAUAAUAGCCCACCAAGGCAACGAUGCAUAGCCGAACUGAGAGGUUGAUCGGCCACACUGGGACUGAGACACGGCCCAGACUCCUACGGGAGACAGCAGUUAGGAAUAUUCGUCAAUGGGGGAAACCCUGAACGAGCAAUGCCGCGUGAACGAUGAAGGCCCUCCGGGUUGUAAAGUUCUGUUGUUUGGAAAGAACAUCGUGUGUAGGAAAUGAUACACGACUGACGGUACCAUUCAAGAAAGCCACGGCUAACUACGUGCCAGCAGCCGCGGUAAUACGUAGGUGGCGAGCGUUAUCCGGAUUUAUUGGGCGUAAAGCGUCCGCAGCCGGUUUAUUAAGUCUAAGAUUAAAGCCCGAAGCUUAACUUCGGUUCGUUUUAGAAACUGAUAGGCUUGAGUGUGGUAGAGGCAAGUGGAACUUCUAGUGUAGCGGUAAAAUGCGUAGAUAUUAGAAAGAACACCAGUGGCGAAAGCGACUUGCUGGGCCAUCACUGACGGUCAGGGACGAAAGCGUGGGGAGCAAAUAGGAUUAGAUACCCUAGUAGUCCACGCUGUAAACG